AUGGAAGUGGAGCAUUAUAGCUGUGUUCACUACAGUUAUGAAACAAACACCAGGGAUGGGCAGGUUGUUAAUCAACUUUUUGUUAAUUUUCAGUUGACAGAAGCCCAGGUACAAGCUCUGUGCAACAUGAUGAAAAAAUGGAAGAACCCUUAGACAGGUAUGGCUUAACCAAAUGACUUGAGCAUCUCUAAAGGAAAUCAGCAGCAUAAUAUGAGACAUAUUGCAGUUAUAUAAGUACUAAAUCUUCAUUAGGCCAGGGGAAAAUUCUAGCUUUGAUAAAUGUACCUGAAAGGAGUAAUUUAGGGGAGCAGAAAUAGUACAGUGAGGAGAGAGCAUGUGCUUUCCACGUGGAGCCCUGUGUUCACUCCCAAUAAUGCCAAAGAAAAAGUGUCAACAAGCACAAUGAGAAAAAUCUUACCUACCAAAUCAUCUACUUUUUCUAACUUUUAAAAUUGUGAGUAGUCUUUCAAAGGUUAUGCAUUUUUAACAGAUCUGUGCAAAUAAUUAUUUUGAAAUCAAUAUUUUAGGAUUGAAUUGGUGUGUUCACACCUGAAAGAAAAUGUUCAAAGUCUCGAAAUGGAGAUUUUGAGCCAGACAAAGAAAAGGAAGAAAACAGCAGGAAAAGUUGAACAUGCUCAGAAACACUUGUCAAAUGACAGUUUGGUG
rnacentral:lncRNA from 1 species